rnacentral:rRNA from 1 species
AGGGAAAGGCGAAAAGAACCCCGGCGAGGGGAGUGAAAAAGAACCUGAAACCGUGUACGUACAAGCAGUGGGAGCCCCACCACCAAAGCAUUCUCUGGUGUUGAAGGCCCUGCAAAGCAGCAUCGCGGUGGYGGAGCGUCGUUUGCGACGCCCAACACACAAAACAAGCGGUGAGUGCUUUGGGGUGGGGUGACUGCGUACCUUUUGUAUAAUGGGUCAGCGACUUAUAUUCUGUAGCAAGGUUAACCGYAUAGGGGAGCCGKAGGGAAACCGAGUCUUAACCGGGCGUUAAGUUGCAGGGUAUAGACCCGAAACCCGGUGAUCUAGCCAUGGGCAGGUUGAAGGUUGGGUAACACUAACUGGAGGACCGAACCGACUAAUGUUGAAAAAUUAGCGGAUGACCUGUGGCUGGGGGUGAAAGGCCAAUCAAACCGGGAGAUAGCUGGUUCUCCCCGAAAGCUAUUUAGGUAGCGCCUCGUGAAUUCAUCUCCGGGGGUAGAGCACUGUUUCGG